AUUGAACGCUGGCGGCAUGCCUUACACAUGCAAGUCGAACGGCAACAGCACUGCGUGGACCGACGAGCGAGUAGCGGGCGAGUAAUUAAUCCAUCCGUGCCUAGCAUUUGGGGAUAAAUACCCGGACGAGAACCUAAUAACGCCCGCAAACUAUGGACGAAAGAAAGCGGCCUACCUGCCUUCCGCUCCCUGUGCGGUUGAUGGCCGAUUAGUUAGUUGGUGGGAUAAAAGCUUACCAAGCCGACGAUCUGUAGCUGGUCUGAGAGGACGACCAGCCACACUGGGACUGAGACACGGCCCAGACUCCUACGGGAGGCAGCAGUGGGGAAUUUUGGACAAUGGGCGCAAGCCUGAUCCAGCAAUGCCGCGUGCAGGAUGAAGGCCUUCGGGUUGUAAACUACUUUUGUACGGAACGAAAAGCCCUCUUCUAAUACGGUAGGGGCAUGACGGUACCGUAAGAAUAAGCACCGGCUAACUACGUG
rnacentral:rRNA from 1 species